UAAUUGCAUGCAGUUCUGUUUAUUGCUUCUGGAGACGACGAUACGAUUAAGUGCAGAAGCGGUGGGCUUAACUCUCCUCUCCAUUUUGCUGCAGCUAAAGGGCACAACGAGAUUAUUUCAUUGCUUUUGGAGAAUGGAGCUGAUGUAAACUCCAGAAAUUGAUGUGGGCAGAUCAUGAUGUGAUAAUUGGACUCAUGCCUUGUAGUUUGCUGCUUGUGUUUGUGAGUUAUGUGAUGUAUAUAUGCCUUGUGGACUUAUGGAGCUGAUGUAAAUUCCAGAAAUUACUGUGGGCAGAGAUCUGCGGUACCACUUGUCAAGCCUCAUAAUUUCGUGCACGCUGAUGAUUAUUUGGUUUUGGAGGAUGAAAGUGGAAGAGUUAAGCUUGCUGGGACCGUGCUUUCACCAUCUGUAUAUGUAACAGGGAAUAUUGUUGGCUUGCACGGAAAAGAGACCGGUGCAGGUGAAUUCUUAGUACUAGAUGUUCUCGAGGCUGGCUUACCACCCCAGAUUGAG